UGCAAAAAUAAAAUGAAAAACUCAUUGAAAAAAAGAAACAAAACAUAGAACUUUUACAACAUAAAGUGAUCAAUAAAUUUCUAUCUACUACAAGCUUACGAGAAAGAAGAAAAAAAAUGGCCAAAACUAUCAAAUUUGUUAAUUUAUUGAUCCUCUUUAUUUUCACGUUUCUUGUUGUAGCUGACGCUAGUGCAACCACAAGGUGCGUGCGAAAUUCUGAUUGUAGACAUCAUAUUUGUAUGUAUCCUCUUGUACCAAGGUGUAAAUAUCCUCUCUGUCGUUGUGUGUAAGAGAUUCAUAAUAUGAAAAUCUCAAGGGACGGAGUCAAAAUGUUAUGUUGAAUAAUUAUAAAAUGGUCAUUGCUGAUUAUUGCCAUCAA